AAAAUAAUAAAAAUAAAGCAAGGUUAAGAAAUUAGAAAUAGGGGAAUGAAUUGCAAUUUUCAAUAAUGCAGUCAGGGUAGGCUUCAAGAGGAGUUGCACUUGAAAAAGACUUGCAAGAAGGUGAAGGAGUUUCAUCCAAGGUGAGAGAAAUUCUUGGAAAACUCAUUUUACCUGUAACCCACCAGAAAAGGGCGUGGUCAAACCUUGUGCUAGUGAGUUUCCCAAACAUAGGCCUUCCACACCGUCCUGCUCUACACCCUCCUGGUGGUUGGGAAGGAGACUCAAAGCAUGUCAGCUGAUGUUGUUGAUAAAGGAAGUGGCUCACCCUGGAAGCCUGACCCUUGUCCUCUCUGAGAGAACCGCGCCAAAUUUCAGGGAGCCUUGUCAGACCCUGACAUUAUUUGAGGCAGCAAUGUGCCCAGCAAAAGGACCACAUAUCCCAAACUCCCCCAGGCUAGAUGUGGCCGUGUGACAAAGAUCUGGCCCAUGAAGCAUAGGAAGGAUGUUGGAUGAAACUUCCAGGAAGAUUCUAAAAGUAAAUUGCCGUUUUCCUUAG
rnacentral:lncRNA from 1 species